rnacentral:tRNA from 2 species
GCGGGUGUAGCUCAAUGGUAGAGUUCUGGCCUUCCAAGCCAGCUGUGAGGGUUCGAUCCCCUUCACCCGCUGCA